GACGAACGCUGGCGGCGUGCUUAACACAUGCAAGUCGAACGCUGAAGCACCAGCUUGCUGGUGUGGAUGAGUGGCGAACGGGUGAGUAAUACGUGAGUAACCUGCCCUUGACUCUGGGAUAAGCCCGGGAAACUGGGUCUAAUACUGGAUGCUACAUGUCACCGCAUGGUGGUGUGUGGAAAGGGUUUACUGGUCUUGGAUGGGCUCACGGCCUAUCAGCUUGUUGGUGAGGUAAUGGCUCACCAAGGCGCCGACGGGUAGCCGGCCUGAGAGGGUGACCGGCCACACUGGGACUGAGACACGGCCCAGACUCCUACGGGAGGCAGCAGUGGGGAAUAUUGCACAAGGGGCGAAAGCCUGAUGCAGCGACGCCGCGUGAGGGAUGACGGCCUUCGGGUUGUAAACCUCUUUCAGCAGGGAAGAAGCCACAAGUGACGGUACCUGCAGAAGAAGCGCCGGCUAACUACGUG
rnacentral:rRNA from 1 species